rnacentral:rRNA from 1 species
CUUGAACGCUGGCGGCAGGCCUAACACAUGCAAGUCGAGCGCGCGGCGGACGGGUGCGUAAUGUAUGGGGACUGCCCGAUAGAGGGGGAUACCUACUGGACACGGUCGCUACUACCGCAUACUAUCGGAUCACCCAUAUUGGGUUAGCUCGUAGGUGAGGUAAUGGCUCACCUAGGCGACGAUCCCUAGCUGGUCGGAGAGGAUGAUCAGCCACAAUGGGACUGAGACAAGGCCCAGACACCUACGGAGGCAGCAGUGGGGAAUAUUGCACAAUGGGCGAAAGCCUGAUGCAGCCAUGCCGCGUGUAGGAAGAAGGCCCUAGGGUUGUAAAGUACUUUCAGUCGAGAGGCGUUACCGACAGAAGAAGCACCGGCUAACUCCGUGCCAGCAGCCGCGGUAAUAC